CAGCCCAACUGGAUGGCGAAAGAUGGAAGCAGUGCAGAGGAAGAGACUUUAGGGGACAUGAAGACCAAUGCCCUCAUUUUACCAAUAGGGAAACGGAAGCCUGGAGAGGACAAAUCUUCAGGCUGAUAAUGAGGAAAUAACCUGGAGUCAAAAGGUAGUCACAGGACAGCAUCUUGUAGAGACUAUGGGCACGGUAGAGCCAUCAGAAGAGCCAAGGAGAGGACACCCAGUGAUCUGGCUCUCUGCCCUGGGUUUUGGACCUCACCAAACAUCUUUAUGAAGAAUCCUCCUGUGGAGUCAGUAGUGAUAACUUCCUACAAAACCAGAACUUAACUGUGUUUGACUAUAUUUAGAGUUCAUCAAUCCUGGGAAAAUACAAAAAAUCUGAUCCUCUCCGGAAAGAAUGAGGUAUGUCAUCAGUGCUUUUACCUUCCCCCUUGCACCAUGAAAAAACAAAUAGGAGGACCUGUUUCAUUGUUACGCUUGUUAUGAAAUGUUUCCUGAUUUCCCUGCCACUAUUCACUCUAACGUAAGCAA